rnacentral:rRNA from 1 species
AGAGUUUGAUCCUGGCUCAGAUUGAACGCUGGCGGCAUGCCUUACACAUGCAAGUCGAACGGUAACAGGUCUUCGGACGCUGACGAGUGGCGAACGGGUGAGUAAUACAUCGGAACGUGCCCGAUCGUGGGGGAUAACGGAGCGAAAGCUUUGCUAAUACCGCAUACGAUCUACGGAUGAAAGCAGGGGACCGCAAGGCCUUGCGCGGACGGAGCGGCCGAUGGCAGAUUAGGUAGUUGGUGGGAUAAAAGCUUACCAAGCCGACGAUCUGUAGCUGGUCUGAGAGGAUGAUCAGCCACACUGGGACUGAGACACGGCCCAGACUCCUACGGGAGGCAGCAGUGGGGAAUUUUGGACAAUGGGCGCAAGCCUGAUCCAGCCAUGCCGCGUGCAGGAUGAAGGCCUUCGGGUUGUAAACUGCUUUUGUACGGAACGAAAAGCUUUCCUCUAAUAAAGGGGGGUCAUGACGGUACCGUAAGAAUAAGCACCGGCUAACUACGUGCCAGCAGCCGCGGUAAUACGUAGGGUGCAAGCGUUAAUCGGAAUUACUGGGCGUAAAGCGUGCGCAGGCGGUUUUGUAAGACAGAGGUGAAAUCCCCGGGCUCAACCUGGGAACUGCCUUUGUGACUGCAAGGCUGGAGUGCGGCAGAGGGGGAUGGAAUUCCGCGUGUAGCAGUGAAAUGCGUAGAUAUGCGGAGGAACACCGAUGGCGAAGGCAAUCCCCUGGGCCUGCACUGACGCUCAUGCACGAAAGCGUGGGGAGCAAACAGGAUUAGA